UAAAUCAGUGUUCUUUUGGCUUAAUUAAUAUUUGAUAAUGCUAAAUAAUAAGAAUGAGACUUUGGUAUAGUUUCUCGAGUGGGAUGGUAGCGGGUUUUUAUAAUUUGACAAUUUUACAUAAUUCAUAUAUAUUAAUAUUAUAAUUUGAUGGUGAACAGCAAGGUGGAGAUAAAAUGAUGUGUGAAGUGUAAACAGAGGUAAAAUGUCACAUUUGUAAACAACCACAUUUUGUUUUGAUUACAAAAAUAACACGUUUGUAAAAUGUAAAAUGUUUUUUCAAGGAACAUUUGGAUGUUGUGUUGAGGGACAUGGUUUAGUGAGAACCAUUGGUGAUGGGUGAAUGGUUGGACUGGAUCAUGCUGUCGGUCUUUUCCAACCUUGGUGAUUCUAUGAUUCUAUGUGAUCCUUGACAAAAUAUGGAAUGGUAGUGAUGGGCAUUUUGUCCUAUUUGCAACAAAGCCUUUCAGCACACUCAUAAUUUUAAACACGUGAAGAAUCCUACUGAUAUCCGAGCACCUUCCUCACUAUUUAACAUCAUAUAUGUUUGAGUGUUUUGAAGGAAAGAUUAUUUCCAGUUUAUGGACAUACACAGCUGAACUGUACAGGGGAAGUCACUUGGACAGGAUGAAAGUAAAAUAACUAAAGAAUUUAUUGUGGAAUGAAAUGUACUGGAAUAUCAGAAUAAGGGAAGUAAAUUUUACAACUGUCAUGGAAUUGAGGCUGCUUACGAAAGUCUAAAAAAAUAUUACAUUUGGAACACAGUCAUCUUUUUCUUUAAUUGCAUACCAGGAAGAGUUUUGCUGAAAAUGAGCCAGCUAUUGACACGCUCCUUCAGCAAGCUGUGGCAGCUUUACGACUUUAUUUUCUUUUACAGCACAACACAUAAAAAGAAAACAGAUACAUUUACUCCUCUCCAGUGCUUGCCAGAAACACUAAGCUUUUCAUCCCCUCUGGGGACUACAGACUUGGAAGUGCCAUGCCAGUGUUUCUGAAGAACCCUUCAGAUUUCACGCCUUGUCUUCAGUUAUUUCUACCAAUCACCUAUCUCCUACUGUACUUCUCUGAUCUUGCCUCUUGUAAUACUUAUUUGCUCAUUUAAAACUGUAAGAAAUCUUCUGUGACAGCUCCUGCUUUAGAAUUACAGCAUUACAUCCUUAUGCCUCUCCAUGUGAAGGAGAAACAGAAAGAAUUAGCAGAAUACAAGAGGGAUGUGAAGAACACAGGUGGAUGUAAACCUGCUCCACUAUUGCUUUGGACCCCUUAGUCCUUCAGCACUGCUGAAAAUGAAAGAUGUGACCCAACGUAGAAAGGUUAUCUUCUAGCAAUAACAAUGCAGAUGUCCUAAGCUGCUACUUUAUUGAGGACUCUUUUGUAUUGGCAUUUGUUCAUUAUCACACCAGUUAGGAACACAAUAUAACACAUGAAUAUCUAGUGCAGAUGUUGAAAUAAUGUGUAUUCUGUCCCAUCCUAUGCUGUUUCCUCCAUCUGCAUCAUAUAUGCAGAAUAAAGAUUGCAUUUGAGUGUCUGCUUUUAUCUCUAUUACUUCCACAGCUGAAAUCUAUAUAUUUUGCAUGGAUUGUAUACAGUCUGAGCAAUUAAUUUCCCUUUUUAACUUGAUUUACUGUGCAACCUGCCCACUACCUCUGUGUCCCGAGAGAUUUCCAGAGGGAUAUUCUAUCCCUGGGGAUACAAGGAGAGUAUUUCCAUUUCAGGAAGAAGUUUAAUAAGUGUCUUCCUCAUGUCCAGGAAAUUCUACCUCCAUUUAAGUCAAUAUAAAAUAUGCAUUCACUCCUACAUGGCCAGAACUUUACUUUUCACCAUUAGCAAAGCGAAGACAUCUCACUCAGCAUGUCUGCCGCUUCAUCCUGCUUAUUUUCUUCAAUGUCAGGGUAAGGGAAACCAGGUUAUAUUCAAACAGGCAAUCUUUGACUGGAAUGAACGUACAGGUCUUAUUCCCAAAAUCAGUUAGCCACAAAUUUGUAAAACUUCAGUAAAGGUUCUAGAGAUAGCAAUGGUAGCUGGUGCCCCAGUUCUUUAUUACAGCACAUGUGUAUGUGCACAUGAUUUGGUGUGAGGCAGCAUUAGAGUUUGGCUUUGGGCUUUGGUUUGCAGAAAACCCUUGUACUGCAGGAAAAAAUCUGCACUUGGUGCUUAACUUUGCAUUUUUACUGUUCAGAGAAGCUUUUAGCUGCUCUCCGAGUGCACCACUGAGACAUAUUGCUGAUAAAAAUGCUCUUUAACUUUCCUGUUGAUACAUAAUAGAAAGAUGCAGUUUCCAAAGGAUUCAUUGUACUGUGAAAAUGGUGGCACUGUGAAAGGUAGGUGAGUAAGGUCUCCCCAGCUGCCUGCUUUACUUCUCCUGUCCUGGUAGUCAUCCUACCAAGACCUGGUAGUCUUUCCCAACCUUUGGCCUUUUUGCAACUUCACCUCUCUGGUAUAAGCACUUCCUUCUUUGCUUUUUUGAAGGAAUUACUUAAAACUCAAAAUAUUUUUCAUGUGAUUUUUGGGUAUCUAAUGAUGAGGAUGGUAUUUUAAAUUACCCAGAUUGGUGCUUGGUUCUGUAGGCUGAAAUAAUUAAAAAGCUCACGAUGUAUUUAAGUAUCCACUGUUCCAUAUCAUGUUCCCUGUUCUGCACAGGCUCUAUUCCAGCAGGCUUCACUUUGCUUCUUAAAACAGUUUUCUGGGUACAGUUUUGAUGGGACCAUAAGGACUUCUGGUAUUCCCCUGGUGGAUAUGAAUCUUCAUAGGCCACACUGAGUUUAAAGCUGACUAAUCUCACUUUGCUUGCAAAAUGAGCAAAAAGAUGUGAACUGUCACAUAUAUAGGCUGUACAGAAAGAAGAUUUAUAAAGCCUCGAGUGUCAAAACAUUGAGAUUAAUCUAACUCAGCUUCAACUAUCUAAAAGCCAGCUGGUCCAAUCUAGGUGAUGGAGAGAGGAAGGCACUUGAACAGGGGUUAUUGAUGUCGUAGAAGGUAAAGAUCUGAGAUAGGUCUUGUUAUUGUCUUCUCAAAUGGAGGGUCACUUGCUAAGACUACUCAGGUAUUUCAGCUAGGUAUUUAAGUUUGAGUCCAGUGAAAGUAAAGGGAAACCUCAUGCAAAACAGCCAUGUCCCUGUUCACUGUAGGGGAGUUGAACUAGAUGACCUUUGAGGGUCCACUCCAACUCAAAACAUUCUAUGAUUCUAUUUCAUAGCUGACCUCUGGCUAGUUGCCAGAAGAGUAUGCUGGGAAAUAUCCUAUAAAAUGGGAAAUAUGAGGCAGAGAGUUCAGAAGAAGCCGAACGGUCAGAAGGAAAGCAAACUGAGGUUACAAGCAGUAUAACCGAGCUUUUACGAUCUGCAUGCAUAUAGCUUGAGUUUGCAGAAACAGGCUGCGAACGUGAACUAAUCCCAUCUUUCUUCUGUGCUCUCCUGACACGUUAAUAAAUGGUCUCUUUUGGAGCUGCUAUUUGCUUUGAUGGAGGUUAUCACUCUUUCAGUACAGAAGAAAUGAUUAUAUGUCUUCUACCAUAUGUUGUUAUUGCAUAUUACUACAGAUAACCACCCAUCCACAUGAAUAAGGCUAAAGACUGUGAACAGGACUCUGAAGGUAAAGCUAACACCCAAAUUAGCCAACCUUUGAUUCAGUGAGAUGAGCACAGCUUUCUUUCUCCACAGGUAAACUCUUGAAACUUGCUUGUCCCUUGCAAGCCCUUGAUCCUGUCUAAAAUCUCCCUAGAGCGAAGACAAGCUGAAUUAUAUCGGAAUUAAAGGGAACAACCUUCUCUAAGCAGGAAACAUUGUGCUAAAGGCUCUUGCAGAGUCAUCAGGAGGAUCAUAGAAUGACUGAGGCUGAAAAUGACUUCUGUCUCCAUCUGGUCCAACGCCAUUACUCAGUCAAGGACACCCAGAGCUGGUUGCUCAGGAUUGUGUCCAGACAGUGCUAGAAGAUCUCAAACAAGGGAGACUCCACAACCACUCCGAAGAGAAGAUGCUCUGAAAACACGGGCUGGUGAUCUAUGACUCACAUGGAUUGGGCUUUUCCCAGCCAAACUCUGCAAUCUAUGUGAGAUCUCUCAAUUAGCGGUGUGGCUGUCUUUACUCAGCAGUGCUUCAUGAUCUCAGACAUGGGCUCUACAUAAGAGCAGUGAGGAAGAAAAGCACUUUAGAGCAUGGUUCAGCUUGCUUCAAGUGUGAUUUACUCUCUGGAAGUACCUCAGUGUCCCCACUGACAUGGAGCUGAAGAAAACUGCUUCCUCCUGAAGUUUCUCAUUUCAGUGUCUACAGUGGCAUAUGACAAAGACUGGUAAAGGUGUCACCUUGUCUGGCAGUAUGAUCCAAUGUCUCAUCACUGUCUGUGCUGGGAAGUGGUGUCCAAUUUCAAGGUGUGCCUACAAGAAGUGAUCGAGUUACCUCCUAAACCCAUCAGUGAACUAAGUAAUCUCAGUGCUAUCGUGUGAUCAGAGCCUUACAUUCUCUGAGGCUCAGUAGCAUUUAUUUCAAAACCAGAAAAAAGAUUUGGCUUAAUUUCAAGAGUAAUUUGGAGAUCUGUCAAACAAUGGUGCCCAUCCUUCUCCAACAGAACACAGGACCUUUUUCACUGACUGUAAGUAGAACAAAUUUAGACUGUGUUGUUUAAAGACCCCGAAGAUGAAAAAUGCUGCUGUGCAGCUCAGCAUCUAUUAUUGUUUUAAAGCACAGACCAUGAGAAAUGUUCACAGCUUGUCCAAAGCCAACAUCCUGACUCAAACAAUUGUUCAGAAUGAAUUCUGAGGCAAGAAAGUUUGGCUAUAGUCAUCUGUGCUUUACAUUCAUCUUAACUCCUGAGAUGAGGAGCUGAGGAACUGCAGCAUCAUCUUUCUGUUCCAAAUUUUUGCAUAACAGUGAGUAAACUCCAAUCUUCUCCAGCCUCACUGACCUGACUAGUUGAGGAAUUGAUCAAGAUAGCCUUGUUUUCUUCUCUUUUACAACUUCCAUCAAUACUAAUCACGUCACGCAAACUUUAAAUACUGUUCUUGAUUGAAAACUGCUAAAUACCAGGUGUUAAGAUUUUAUUUAUCUUCUUCCUGGUCUGCACACUGGCCAACUUUUAUCACAUCUAAAGUAGUUUUUCAGUCUGUUGCUAAAUGUGGUUGAACAAUCGCUCUUAUUUCCAAGUCUUUGAUAUUAAAGGUUAUUAGCUUUCAUUAUGGGUGGGGAUCUUCCCUGAUAAAUUUAGAUGUCUAAAAGCAGACAUGUAAUGUAGACAAGACACAUAAGCUUUUUAAAGACUGAGAGAUGGGCAUCUCUAGGAAGUGUUUCCCAUAUUGAGCUAGUCAGCCAGCACUUCUCUUUGAGUGCACCUCCUAAUUUGCCCUUGUCACCUACCACAAAUUUACCAUUUUCACUCUCCAGAAGUUCAGUUCUGACCCGUGUAUAAGAGUUCUUAUUGUUCAAAGCCAUAUCUGACAACAACUAUAAUCCUGAAUGGACUCACGACUGAUAAAAAAAAUCCUACUGCUGCAUGGUGAUGCUAUAAGGUGAGAUUUGUGCUGAACUGGGAUAUGGCAUAGCAUAGGACAGUGAUUUCUGUAUACAUGCAAGAGAAACCCAUUCCAGACACUGCAUCUGUUAUUUUCAGAAACUGAAAUAGAAAGAGGUUGGAACUGACUUUGAGGAUUUCAAAGCAAAUUCAAGAAGAGAUGCUAGAAGUAACUGUGUGGCUCUCGGAACAGAUUUAAGAGUUAGACAGGAAGUUACAGCCUUUAAAUGAAAGGACCAUGAAUUCAGUUUUUAUGAACAAUAAGGAACUGAGCCAAAUAAGAGAGCAGAAUGUCUCUGCAUUUCUUAAAAUGACUUUGCAGAAUUGAUAAUCCAAUAAAUACAUAGCCCAAUUCACUGACCUCCCAGGUCCUUAUCUGCUGAUCUAGGAAACCAAACGUCUUUCCUUGUAUUUCUGGAACAGAAUGAAUGUGUUCCGUGCUGAAGCCAGAAGUAUGAAAUCUGUGUUGCUGAGACUUAACAUUAAGAUAUUAAGACAGUAAGUAGUGACAUUGCUGACCUGACAGUUCCAGUGUAAGGUAAUUGUUCUGAUCUUGUAUCUAUCAAUUAUAUUUAACAAUUCAGUGGAAUUUUAUGCCCAUGGCAGGCUCCAACGUUAGCUAAGGUAACAACAGUUCUUAUUUUCAUGUAAAUUCAAUUAUCUUUUUGUUUGCUGAUUCAGAAGCGAACUUAAUAUUGCUCACUGGGGACAAACCAAAGAUAUGAAGAUAGCUGUCUACUGUUUGAGUGUAAGAUCUGAUGCACUAAAGGUUGUUACUGCAAAGGAUUUCCCCACUAUAUCUUGCCUACAAGUCUUAAACAGCACUGAAACAUUCAUGUUGUAGAAGAAGCUCCUUGUUCUGACAAGCUAAAAAGGGGACAAUUUUCUUCUAAACAAAACAAUCUUUGAUAGUGCCAUACAAAACACACUUUGAUAGUGUCUGGUUGCUAUUCCCAGUAGAACCUAGAUCAAAUUAAUUCACAUACAUUAUGGAUUCAUUAAGGGAUUAGAUGGCUGGGGAGGAGGAAUAUGCAGGAUUUGCUAUGAAAUAACUCAAACACAUACACGUUCUUCCACUGUUAUAAACAGAGGACAACAACUUUGAAGCAUCCAGAGGGGAAUUUCAUCUGCCUGAAUUAGGGGAUUUAACUUGAACAGGUUACCACUAUGGAGAUGUCAAAGUCAGCCAAGGUUUAUGUCCCUCCAUUUGCUUUGCCAUUGCUUAAUGCAUCCCAGCUCUUUGAAGUUCAGACAGUUUCAUGUCAUGUGUACCAUAACAUGCACACUACCUCUGCUUGUGCCUUGCAGCCCCUCUCUAAUGCAGAGGAUACAAAACCCACACUUGACUGAUUCCACUGAGCUCAAAUAACUUGGAAUGUGUUUCUAUGAGAUGUGGUUUAGUAGCUUAGUGGGUAGUACUGGUGAGAGGAGGACAGUUGGACUGGAUGAUCUUGUAAGUCCUUUCUAACUUUGUGAUCCUAUGUGCCUAUGAUACAGUGUGUAACAGACCUGGGAAUUGGAAGAGCAUAUGUGCUUGUGUUUUAAUGCUAUUUAUCAAGUCAGCCUUUUGUAGAUCUUUCAGUUCAACUGAUGACAAUGACAGUCAGCUACUAUUCUAAAUCUCAUUCCUGUAAUACCUGAUUUUCUUGAAACACACUUUGAGGAAGAUACACCAACAUCUUAAAAAAUACAUUCAGCGAGCAAAGAUGAGAGGUUGUCAUUGCUCAUACAAGUGUUAUUUUAAUUUGUCUCUCACCUUUCCUCAGAAAUCUCACCUGCUUCUGCUGAUAUGUUCCAGCAAAGCUGCCAGCAAAUGCCAAGCAACAGGCAAGUGGAAAGAGUGUACGUUGUGAAGAAACAUCUAAGAUGAAGUGAGUGGGAAAUGCCAACCCCAUGCACUGAAAUGGGGGGUUCCAGCUGUUCUCGACAGUGAACGGGCUCAUUGCCUGGCUCCAGCCUCUAUUUUUGAUUGCACAUCACAAGGUGAAUGGAAGUACACUGAACAGCCUCAGAAGCAAUAGCACAGCUGUGUUCCUAAGCACUCAGUCUUGUGAGUUAAAUAAUCCUUUUGAAAAGGGGAAAAAAAAAGAAAACGUGAAUUGAAGGUUGAAAGAUUUAAAAAUACAAAUUCUGAUAUAUUACAGACCUGCUCCGUUAUUACUUGCUGCAAGCAAUAAAUUCUUCCUUUGGAACUCUGCUCCUCCUGCAGAGGUUAAAUCGGAUCUGGAAAUUGGAAUUGAAGUAUUUGGGUUUGUUGCUGACAAAACCAUGGGAAUUGUAAGAAGUGAAUAGAAGGUUUAAUGCGAAAAGUUCAAUAAACUGGAAA